rnacentral:rRNA from 1 species
UAACGCGUGAGGAACCUGCCUCAAAGAGGGGGACAACAGUUGGAAACGACUGCUAAUACCGCAUAAGCCCACAGCUCGGCAUCGAGCAGAGGGAAAAGGAGUGAUCCGCUUUGAGAUGGCCUCGCGCCGAUUAGCUAGUUGGUGAGGUAAUGGCCCACCAAGGCGACAUCGGUAGCCGGACUGAGAGGUUGAACGGCCACAUUGGGACUGAGACACGGCCCAG